CGGCGCGCGAGGCGGCGCGCUGCCACACGCCGUCGGGCUCCGAACCCGACGAGCCGCCCGACGACCUGCCCGCCGACCUGGACGACGACCCCGACGACGAGCCGCCGCCCGCGCCGCCGCGCACCAUAGAUACUCGCGCGAUUAUAGCGCAGGCUGCGCAGGCGCUGCUGGCCGCCACGCGCCACGUCGCGCCCGACGCGUAGCGACGCCCGUACGUACUUCACAGUUCACUGACCUACCCACUGUGUCACAGCUCUUCGUCAUAGGCUCUUCGAUGGAGAAAAUUUACGGCAAUAUUCCGCAGAUAAAAUAUCGCUUCGAGACCAAAUUACACCAGCGGCAAAUCUACAUUAUUCAGCUGCAUUGACACAACCUUACUGCCAUGUUGACGCUAUAUUAUAGGCGAUAUUGCUGAAAAAUUUUGCUCGUUUGAAGUUUUGUGGCCAGGGGAUUUUUGAACUAACUUUAGAUUAAUGAUUCGAUAGAAAUCGUGAAAGUUGUAUUUCGAUGAUUUCUACUGAUAGUUAUCCAAAAAUCCACCAGCCUUAAUAACUUGGUACAACUGUACUCUCGACAUUAGAAUGUGAAUGAAACCUUAAGUUUAUAUUUGGAUGAUUGUGGUACUUUGUAUAAAUCAAUAAGAUAAUACGAAACUUUUGGUGUAUGUAGUUAAAUUUAUAUUAUAAUUGUAAUACAGUUUGAAUAAUGCAAAAUUUAGUAUCGGCAGUUAUUGUGACACGAUUUAUAGCGCAAUGGGAGCUAUUAUCUUUCUAGGGUGGCACCGCCAGUUGUAGUAUUUGUUUUGACCAGUAAACAUAUGUAAUGUAAAAUCUAGAGUGAUGCCGCCACUAAAAACGUAAUUGCUCCCACAGUUAAACUGAUUCAAGUGUAGAUAGCCUUGAUCCGGCGUCUUUUUGACAUCAAAUGCCAUUUCCAAAAUAAAUUAAUAUAUUUUUGUAACACGUUCAUUGAGCAUCAAAAAUAAUAUACUACCAUAAACCGAUUGUAUGACUACAUACCUACAUAUUUUCCAUAUAUUAUUUUUCUAAAGUUAUUUAGAAGCUAUCUUGGUAGGAUAUAUUCUGAUACGUUAUUUUUAACGCAAAAAAGACGCCGAUUGAGGCUUCCGUAUGCGUUAUGUGGUGUAAAAAAAUGAUAAUGUAUAAUUCAAUACGGCGCUAUAAUACUGUCGGAAACGAUGCGCUUGCAGUUCCCUUUAUUACUUGUUUGAAGUGUGAUCUACAUUUGAGGCUACUUAGGGUCCUUUCGCUGUGGCCGGUGACUAUAUUGAAAAAAAAAAACCAUUUGCUUCCAACUGCGUUGACAUAAUCGUUUUAAUAUUAACUGUUAGGCAAUUUCAGUAUUUUGAAGCAGAUGGCUUCAAAACCGAUAUUUCACCUUAUUGGUCUGACUGGCCCAUCCAUAUGGCUUUUCAGCUCUUGGUCUGCCACAGAAAAAGAGACCCUCUGUACAAUACUGAUCAGUGUAAACUUUAAUGGCGUAUCCAAAAAAGAUACGCCAUUAGAAUCUCAGUAUUGUUCGCCUCAACAAGAUCGCACUCAUAUUGCACAACUUACCUGAAUUCUAAAUACCUAUUAUCGUUUGGAGUAGCUCAAUAUUACAAUGAAACUAUCUAUUGUUCACAUACCAUGUUAGUUCGUAUAUGUAUCUCUUAAGUCAUUAAUAUAUUGAUAUGUUAAAAAGUGCAAAUGCUGAAGAAAUGUUUAACUGAUGUUUUCGUCGUUUAAUAAAUAAGUUUAUUGUGUAAAAAAUAGACUUAGUAGUUGUUGCUUAAGUUCUUAACGAUAACGUAAUGCGUGGCGUUUUUUGAGAAUGUCUUUGUAUCUCGCAAUUCGGUUGAACGUAAAUAUACUGAUUGCAUAGUAAUAUGAAUACAUCGAUGUUUAGCAUACAUUCCAAAAGUGAGCAUCACACAGCGCUUUGGGCCAGGCUGCGUGCUACAAACGCGUACUUACAUGAUAUUUUGAAGGAGACUGAUCACAGCCAUAGGCCUCGUGUAGGACUACCGAACAAACGUGAGGGGUCGUUUCGUACUAUUUUGAUACAUGAACAGUGGCGGCCAUAAGGUUUUAUUUUGAUAUAAGCCGUAGAUACUUACUUCAGGCAAAUACUGCCUGAUUGCAUAAUGCACCGCACGCCCCUGUCCAUGAAUACAAAUUGUAUCUUCUAUUUGAUAUCAAAUAUUUUGAAUUUUCCUUAUGAGGAGUAUAAUUUUGGUUUAACACUUUAUUGAUGUGUUUGAAAGGCAUCGAUGCGACUGAUAGGUUUUAUGGAGAAUGGAUUAGGGAAAAUUUUAGUUGAUAUUAUUUACGGCUUUCUAAUUAACAAUUUUAUGGUAUAAUAGCCCGUGUAAAGUGCGGACGACAAGCCGUUUUUUAUUUUCGUAUGUAUUCAUUCCUCUCACUCAUAACGAGAUGCUGGUAUGAGUGACUGAAGCAAGUACACCCUUAAAUACUGAAUCGGAGUUACAAAGCAGCCCCGCCCUGAAGGUCUUAUUAUAGCAUUUUCAAUCAAAUUAUGCAUGUAAUCACUUACCAUCAGGUGAUCCGUCUGCUCGUUUGCCUCCUGUCACAUAAAAAAAAACUAGACUCGAUGAAAGCUAUAAAUAAUAUUAAUUAAUCUUUGACUAAUAUUGAGGGCGUAAUUUUAUAUCGUUUUUUAAUUUUAUAUAGUUAGUUGUAGACAUUCUCAUGUUCGUAGGAAGAGCAGUAUGGUAGGAGUCGUGUUGCUAUAAAUACUGUUUGACUUUAGCAUCACUAUGUUUUAGCUUGUUUAAAUGGAUAACGUAAUUUAAUUUCUAUUAACUCAAUACAAUAGAACUACAAUUUACUCUCAUGUAUAAUUUUACGAUACUAUUUGAAUUACAUAUUUUAUAGUGUAUUAUUUCCAUCUCAUUUGGAUCAAAGAACCUCUUGCGUUACAUAAUAAUAAUGCUUAGAUCUCUGAUUAUAUUUUAUACUGUGUACUGUUCGGAAGUGUAGGUUUCCGUAAGCAUCUUACUUCUCCAUCUCUCACAUUUUGUUUUGUUUCCACUCUGGAGCCUUUAUUUAUAAUGUUUGUAAAACUAGAUAAUGAGAGUACUAAUUUCACUGUCAUAUUACGAGUACAUUUUGGUAACAGAACAGAAACGCGAGCGAUGAUAUUCACUAUUGGAAAUUUCGAUCGGUAGCUACUUGUAUCUAUAAAAUAAUGAACUUACUAAUCAGCCAUUUUGUAAAGAUUGAUAGAUGUAAAAUGAUUUGAAAAGAUAUGUAACCAAAAAGGUUUUGCAAAUUGACAAGUUCUGAUCCAGAUUAGCAAAAUAAUCAUGUUAAUUUUUCAUAUUCUAUAUUUUAGGACAUCAUUUAUUUGAACGAGAGUAAAAAAUAAUAUUUUGAUAGCAAUUCCUCUACAUGUUUUAUUUAUUUCUGUGAAAAUGAAUCUCCAGUUCAAAUUCGGGCGUUAUGUAUUGUAGAUAGUUCUGCAUGCCUGGAUCUAUACACUUUAGUCGGUCCCGUGAAGUUUAGGAUUGUGUUAUUACUUCGAUGAAAUAAUUUGGGCAAAAUUAUCUCAUAAAAAUGUUUGAAAUUUCCAUUAAAUUAUCAGGUUUUAUAACAAAACUAUGUUAUAAUUUUAUGCAUUUAUUAAUAACAAUAUCGUUUAAAAUUUAAACUAGAAAUUAUUUUUCGCUUCCAAUUCACUUUUCGUUUUUUGGCUGUGAAGGGUUUGUUAGACUAAGAUAUGUGUAACCUUUUAGAAAAGAAAUUCUAUAUUCUUAACGCUUACGAUGUCCGAGGCUGAGCUUACGUAUAACAACAAAACCAUAAAGUUAGUCAAAUUACCCGUCCAAGGCGCGUACUUUAAAUUUGUCUGCGGAUCGUGAAAAAUAUAGGCCAGUAAAAUUAUAGUCGAAUCUUUGUAAAUGUGUAAUGUGAAAUUAAAAAUCUCGAAUCUUUCGACUUCUAUUGGAUGUUCUUGAACCCGAAAGAAGUAGCAAAAACAAGUAAUACAUAAUUCCCUCCCUGUAGUGGGCUGACCAACUCCAUUUAUCGGGCACAGCACUCUCUUCUUUGAAUGUUUAUGCUUCUCGUUACCCUGUAAAAACUUUUUUGAUGUCGGUGUUAAAUAUUAAGUACUUACAUGAAUAUUAUAGUAAUGAGGCGAAUAAUAUUUAAUUUAAUAACACUGCCCAAAUCACCAAGAUUACUCUUUAUUAUAAGGCAUAAUAUGUAUGUCAGAAACGCGUAGAAAAUUUAAACAAAUUAAAAUAAACAACGUAUCGAAUUACAGAAUUUUGAUGAAAUAUAAAUUAAUAUGUCCAUUUUAUAAAUUUUAUAGUAAAUACUACGAUUUGUAUUUUCAUCCAUCACAAAUUGGUUAAUGUUUUACUGCGUAUUGGCAUCGAGAGCGCGGGACGGGUGUGAUAGUGCGGCCAUCCAUAAUCGAGCUGGUGAGGCUUCGUAGACGCGGUAGAAAAAAAGGGGUAAUUAUGACAGAAAUCAAAUUAUUAUUUAGGAUACAUUCAUAUAGUCUACAAGGCAAGAUUUUUAGCUAAAUAUGUACAUGUUUCAAUUGAUCACAUAACUUGUAUUUAUAACUGCUUGGUUUUGCGGUCGAUAUCGACAUCACAUUAACCACAAAGUGUCAGUUAUCUAUAAUGAUUUUUGAACUUUAUUGCAUUUACUAUGAAGUGCAAAAUCAAUUAAGGAAAGUUAUUUUGUGGAAAAUUGGUGUACUGUCGAUGUACCCUACAUCUAGAGAGUUACGCUUACGCUUCUAACGUGAAGAAAGUACGCACGCGCACGCGACACCUGCGCCCGCGCUUUCCAUGUAACUAGGCGCUUAGAGUUUAGAUAAAUAACAGAAGUGGUUAUUAUAAUUCACUUAUUAGAUUUCUAUAUUAUCUAUAAUGUAACGUUUCUCGAAUAAGCAUCAUAGUUGUCAAUAGCUGCCUAUAAAAAUAGAAACAAAAAGCAAUAAUGUUCAACGGAAUACGAAUUAAUCAAUAUUGAAAACUCCAAUUGUUCAUAAUAAUUUGAAUGUACUUUAUUCAUUAUGUAAUUGUUAUUGACUUCUGUUAUAUUAAUAUGUAUCGGUAGAAUUCGUUGUGAGGAGAGACAGCAGUCACUGGAAAAAAUGUAAAAGGGUUUUGAGGUAAUAUAAUGUGGUGCUAUCAAUCAGAUUCGAGUGGCUGGGAAAUAAAAUGUAUUUAGUUUGUCCUGAUUUUAGAGCUUAUUAAUAUAUAUAAUCUAAUAUAACUAUGCUGUAAUUAUCUUUUUAUUAAUUUUAAGAUUAUUUUAUGUUUCCACUAAAAGCGGCGCUAGAUGACCGUUCGUAAGUGUCACAGUCUAGCGGUCAUCACAUUUCAACUUGGCUUAUAUUAGGGGAUACUCAACAUGUGUAUUAUAAUUACUUACAUUUAAUUUUACGACACUGAAAUUUUACUUUCAGUCAAAUAUAACUGUGUUAUUGAACAUAAUUUGUGAAAAUUAAUGAAAAUACUGUAAAUCGGACUGGUAAGCCAAAGUAAACAGUAUUUUAUAA